AAAACCAAAGCUCGGUCUUGGGAGUGAGGGACCAUUUUUGUGCCCCUCUGCCCGCAAUCCAGUGGCGGACGACCCGUGGGCCGAGAGCGUGAUGAGCACCUCAAACGCUACUGGCAGUCGGGAAUGUCCCGCAUUAACCCCCCUCAGAGUACAAUCUCCGGUUUGACCUCGGAUCAGGUAGGGAUACCCGCUGAACUUAA
rnacentral:misc_RNA from 1 species